AGAUUCUGAGCUAACACUGGCCACAAUCACAUCAUAACACAAUCAAUGUUAUAAGACAAGAACUUUUAUCACAAAACAUGACUCCAGAAGCACUGCAAAAAACUUCUAUACAAAGAAGAUAAGUGAAUGGGCAUACACCUGAGAAACCCCAGCGAGUGGGCCAAAGGCCAUUAGCCCCAUCAAGGUUAGUGGAAAGCUUCUACCACAUGGGGGCGCUCCCAUCCUGCUUCCCUCGGCCAUUACUCCACCCACUAAGAGGUUGGCUGCUCCUAGAGGAUUGGUCAGGUCUAAGAACAUGGCUGAGGCUUCUGUGCUUGGGCAUAGAGCUGUCUCCGCAAUGAAAACAAGGUUAAAAGUGGUUCCUGGUGAAGAAUUUCUUUUUAGCUCAUUUGUUUGAUUGGAAUUGCCUAUUCCUUCCAUUAGAGCCAAGCAAUGAAGAUGUGUGCAGGCCAGGCAAAUCCUGAGGGGAUCGAACUCAGGACCUUGCACUUUUGAGGCAGGCGCUGAAACCACUGAGCUAAAUCCUUGGCACCAGAAAGUUUUACUCUUACACACCUUUCAGGAUUAAGCUGAAACAUUAUCUGCUCCAUGAUGCCUUCCCCAAAUCUAAUUGCGACAUGCAUAAUAAAUGAGGCAAUAGUUCGACCUAGAUGUUCACGAGCAAGCACAUCCCGGGUAGCUGUCCUCUACGAGUUCGUUUCCACCUUGUUUCUUCAUUUUUCUUUCUGUCUUUUAUUUCAAAGUAUCUUUCCACUAUGAAUGUAAUGGUUAUGUACUACAAACAUG
ensembl:lncRNA